AUGGGAUUUUGUCUAUUCAAUAACGUGGCUGUUGCAACAAGUUUUCUAUUAGAUGAAAGACCAGAAUUGGGUAUUAAAAAGAUUCUGAUUGUUGACUGGGAUGUUCAUCAUGGUAAUGGUACGCAAAAGAUGUUUUGGAAGGACCCUCGUGUCCUGUUCUUCUCUGUUCAUAGGCAUGAGUUUGGGUGCUUUUACCCUGCUAACGAUGAUGGUUUUUAUACUAUGAUUGGGGAAGGACCAGGUGCGGGAUAUAACAUAAAUGUUCCUUGGGAGAAUGGAAGAUGUGGGGAUGCAGACUAUCUUGCUGUUUGGGACCAUAUAUUGAUACCUGUUGCUAAGGACUUUGAUCCUGACAUGAUUAUAGUGUCUGCAGGAUUUGAUGCAGCCGUCGGUGAUCCUCUUGGCGGUUGUUGUGUCACACCAUAUGGAUAUUCAGUAUUGUUGAAAAAGUUAAUGGAUUUUGCCCAUGGUAAGAUUGUGUUGGCAUUAGAAGGAGGUUACAAUCUUGACUCCAUAGCAAAUUCAUUCCUUGCUUGCAUGGAAGUUUUGCUUGAAAGCAAGCCUUUCGCUGGAUCUUCAGAGGCCAAGCCAUUUGAGUCCACAUGGCGUGUGAUACAGGCGGUUCGUAAGAAAUUAAGUGCUUACUGGCCUGCACUUGCAGAAGAAAUACCCCUGAAGCAUCUUUUGAUCUCAAGCUUUGAUUACGAAGAUGAGGGUGACAAAACUCCAAAUACUGUGUCAGAAAAUACGGUGGCAGUUGUUCAGGAUAUUAUUGAACCUCUUUCAAGGCUGAAAGUUGAAGAUGGUCAUGAUCAAGCGGUAGCAAAGCCUAUUCCCUGGAGAUCAGAGCUUUCAAAGAUAGACAUUUGGUAUGCUACUUUUGGAUCAAAUAUGUUGAAACGAAGGUUCCUUUGCUAUAUUCAAGGUGGUCAGGUCGAUGGUAUGAAGGAGCCAUGCUCUGGUUCAAUGGAUAGAAACCCUCCAAAAGAUAUUUUGUGGAAAAUUUUCUCCCACAGAUUGUUCUUUGGCCGUGAAUCUUCACGUACAUGGGGUCCUGGCGGCGUUGCUUUCCUUCAUCCUGAAAGUAGUGUUGGUGAAAAAGCUUACAUGUGCUUGUAUAGAAUAACGCUGGAGCAGUUCAAUGAUGUUUUGUUUCAAGAAAAUGGUUCAAGUUAUGAGAUGGGUUCUCCGGCAUUUGAUUUGGCAGAUCUACAGACAGUCACAAACCAAGGGUCCAUUUCUUUGGAGGUUUUUAAGAGGAGUUGGUACCAUAAUGUAGUUUACUUGGGAAAGGAGCAGGAUAUUCCUAUUCUGACUAUGACCUGCUCACUUUCAACUUUUGUGAGCUUUAAAUCAGGGAAACUUCCCCUGCGUGGUCCUUGCAAAGAAUACGCCAACAUCUUAGUCCAAGGGCUGAUGGAAGGACAGCUCUCAGAAGAGGAGGCCACUGCCUACUUAGAAGAAGCCUCUUCUAGACCACUAUGAUGGCAACUGUCUAGUUUUCACAUUUAUUCUCGUAAAUGUUUCAAACUAGUAGCUUUGAUUGCACAUUAAAAGCAAAUCUUGCUCAUCCGAUAGCUUCAGAAACCAAAAGGUUGUGGCAAAUUAAGGUCCAUUUGUAUUGCAAUCAAGUGUUGAGGGUGCAGCAGUGAGUGCAAAUUUACAUACAAUAUAUCGCACCGUUUUCAGAACUAACAUGGAUUUGUAUUUGCUAAAGCCUGCGAUCCCAUGAGAUGGUUUUUUUUUUAAAAAAAAAAAAAAAA
rnacentral:misc_RNA from 1 species